rnacentral:miRNA from 1 species
UUUCCUUUCCACAAUGUUCG